AUAGUCUGUAUCUCGGUGAACAGUUGAAUUUAUCUAUUAGUUGUUUUAUGAUGAUGAUAAAUGAUUUUGUACAUUUCUGUACGGAAUUCACUUUGUGCAUCAAUUAGUAAAUUUUUUGGAUUUAUUUUGUUAACUAGGAUUUUCUAGUACACUUUCAUGGAUGUACACAAUUAAAUUAUUCUUCUGUAGCUGUCACAUUGUUUGCUAUCUCCUGUCUUGAAAAUGGGUAGUCGCUACGCUAUUUCUUAGACUUUUGGUGUCUUCGCUGUCCUCCAAGCUAUGUAUCAUAUUUUUAACCGAUUGCCAGGAAGGGUUAUGAUUUUUUAACGCGUAUCUUAGCUCAAGAUAAACCACCAUGCUUCGAUUUUGAUACCAGCAAAUUCUCCAAGACUGCUGUUUGCAUUGUAAUUUUUCAAACUAGUAGAUUGCCGUAAAAAUCGCACUGGAACUGGCCAACCAAAUAUCCUUAUGAUUAAUGAUGAAACUUCGUUAUGCAAAGUUUUGAAGAAACCCCUUUGACAUCUAUUCAGAAAAGUGUAGGAGCUACUUGUAUUCGUAAUAUUAAUAAGCCGAUUAUGUUCAAAUCCCUAUGAAUUUACGUCAGUUCGAAAAUUAUCUGAAGAUGAUCAUGACUAUAGAAUUGAAUUCAAGACUUUCCGAUAGAGCAACGUUUAUUUUAAAUGGCAUAGAUAGUUGCUUCAAUUAUAGAGAUAUACAGUUGGUAACAGUUUCAAUGACAUUCGAUUUCAUCACGAUUGUGAAUCAUCAAAUUUAAGUGAUACGAGAUUAGUACUACGAAGUUUAACAAGACAAAUUAAAAGAAGGGGUACAUUAAAGUGACCAAACAGAUAUUCUAAUUGAUUGCUUUUAGACUAUAUCUGUGUAUAAAUAAAUGACUUAGUGUACAUGACAAAACGUAAGACAUAACAAAUCAGCAAUUGCCUGAGUCUGUUGAAAAAUAAACAAUUAUCAAACAUUUUGUUGCGAGACUUACUGAAAUCAAAAUCGGUCGGUAAAAGUCCACUCUUACUAGGUAUGGUUAACAUUAAUCUUUUGAUAUUCCUCUCUCCUCACGCAAUUGUGAAUGGUAACGAUAUGUUUCCUUAAUUCUUUAUGUAUUUUAAAGUCUAAGAAUUACAAAUAACUCAUAAAUAAGAUUAUUGGUAGUCUGAAUAAUGGAUGUUCAAACUUUAAAAUCGUUCAUAUGGGCUAGUUUAGAUUAGUUUAAGCUCAGGUUAGGAAUUCUCAAAAGCUCUGGUAACACCGAAAAAAAAUCCAAGAAGUACAUAUCUGAAAGAUGUGAUUUGAUUAUAAUCUUCAAAUUUCCGUGAUUCCAAAAUCUGUUUGGAUUAUGUAUGUUCUGUUUUUCAUUCGUUUUUACUUUAUAUAUUAUUAAGAUUACAAUUGUAUGCUAACACCAUUACCUUUAGUGCUAGUGAACACGGCAUUUAUCUAAUUUUUCUACUACAUUGCCUCAUAUUUUUCAAUUUGAACUCGAUUUUAAAAUUUAUUGUCGCUCUUUUCAUUAUAUUGCAGUGAGUCGUUGAGAUCCGCCUGUGGUUUGGAUUGGAUUGUUUUUCUCCAGGGAAAUCGUCUGAACAAGUUUAAAAUGUAUACGAGAAUGAACCGCAAGCUCUGUCGAGUGCAUUGUGUUUGAAUGUGCUUGCUUUAUAAGGAUAAGGAUGUAGGGUGUAAGGACUAACGGAUGAGAUUAUGUGAAUAGGAGAAGGGGAAAUGAUUGCUAGGAAGUAAAAUAAUAGACUUUUUUAGUAUUUUAUGUCAUCGAAUGUAAUUAGAUUUGUAACUUUCUAGUUAUCUUGAUAAACUUGUUAAUUGCUUGAUUUUAUGUAAAAUUAAAACCAACAUCCUUCCUAA